UUUUCCCUACGGGGGGCAGCAGUGGGGAAUAUUGGGCAAUGGAGGAAACUCUGACCCAGCAAUGCCGCGUGAAUGAAGAAGGUCUUCGGAUUGUAAAGUUCUUUAGUUAGGGAAGAAUAAAAUGACGGUACCUAAAGAAUAAGCCCCGGCUAACUACGUGCCAGCAGCCGCGGUAAUACGUAGGGGGCAAGCGUUGUUCGGAAUGACUGGGCGUAAAGGGUGCGUAGGCGGUAGUACAAGUUAGAAGUGAAAUACCCAGGGCUUAACUCGGGUGCUGCUUCUAAAACUGUACGACUUGAGUGCAG
rnacentral:rRNA from 1 species